rnacentral:rRNA from 1 species
UACGUAGGGUGCAAGCGUUAAUCGGAAUUACUGGGCGUAAAGCGUGCGCAGGCGGCUUUGCAAGACAGAUGUGAAAUCCCCGGGCUUAACCUGGGAACUGCAUUUGUGACUGCACAGCUGGAGUACGGCAGAGGGGGAUGGAAUUCCGCGUGUAGCAGUGAAAUGCGUAGAGAUGCGGAGGAACACCGAUGGCGAAGGCAGCCCCCCUGGGCUAGCACUGACGCCUCAGGCACGAAAGCGUGGGGAGCAAACAGG